UGGGGAAUCUUGCGCAAUGGGCGAAAGCCUGACGCAGCGACGCCGCGUGGGUGAUGAAGGCCUUCGGGUUGUAAAGCCCUGUGGGGAGGGACGAAUAACACCAACCCAAUACGUUGGUGGAUGACGGUACCUCCUUAGCAAGCACCGGCUAACUCUGUGCCAGCAGCCGCGGUAAGACAGAGGGUGCAAACGUUGUUCGGAAUUACUGGGCGUAAAGCGCGUGUAGGCGGUCAUGCAAGUCGGGUGUGAAAGCCCGGGGCUCAACCCCGGAAGUGCAUUCGAUACUGCGUGGCUAGAGUACUGGAGAGGAUGGUGGAACUCUCGGUGUAGAGGUGAAAUUCGUAGAUAUCGAGAAGAACACCGGUGGCGAAGGCGGCCAUCUGGACAGAUACUGACGCUGAGACGCGAAAGCGUGGGGAGCAAACAGG
rnacentral:rRNA from 1 species